rnacentral:ncRNA from 1 species
UCCGUCCGGGUCCGUGGUUGCGCCGUUCAGGUGCUCGCACCCGAGCGGCAAGCCGAUGCCAGUCGCAGGCGAAACGGCCCACGUAAGCCUUCCUCGCGGAGGCGAUCACGGUGCGGCUUAGAGGUAAGUCCUGCCCCGUCCCGGCCGUCAGAUGCGGUCGUCGGCGGGAGAAGGCCAGUAGUGGCGCCAGAGAUGGCGGAUGAGCUGCGAACGUCUCAGCAGGCGGUUGUGGGGUCGAAGACCAGGUCGGCCGGACGGG